rnacentral:rRNA from 1 species
UACGAAGGGGGCUAGCGUUGCUCGGAAUCACUGGGCGUAAAGGGUGCGUAGGCGGGUCUUUAAGUCAGGGGUGAAAUCCUGGAGCUCAACUCCAGAACUGCCUUUGAUACUGAAGAUCUUGAGUUCGGGAGAGGUGAGUGGAACUGCGAGUGUAGAGGUGAAAUUCGUAGAUAUUGCAAGAACACCAGUGGCGAAGGCGGCUCACUGGCCCGGUACUGACGCUGAGGUGCGAAAGCGUGGGGAGCAACAGG